rnacentral:rRNA from 1 species
AGAAUGAACGUUGGCGGCGUGGAUUAGGCAUGCAAGUCGAGCGCGAACCGGCCGCAAGGCUGGGGAAAGCGGCGAAAGGGAGAGUAACGCGUGGAUUAUCUACCCUCGGGAUCGGGAUAGUCCGCCGAAAGGCGGAGUAAUACCGGAUAACGUCCCUGUACCAAAGGUGUGAUUCCGCCUGAGGAUGAGUCCGCGUCCUAUCAGCUAGUUGGUGGGUAACGGCCUACCAAGGCAACGACGGGUACUGGGUGUGAGAGCACGACCCAGCUCACUGGGACUGAGACACUGCCCAGACACCUACGGGUGGCUGCAGUCGAGGAUCUUCGGCAAUGGGCGCAAGCCUGACCGAGCGACGCCGCGUGCGGGAUGAAGGCCUUCGGGUUGUAAACCGCUGUCGUAGGGGAGGAAAUACCAGGUGGUAAUUCAUAAUCCAUUUGCUUGACCUAUCCUAGGAGAAGUACGGCUAAGUCGUCGCCAGCAGCCGC